rnacentral:rRNA from 1 species
UCGGGAAUUUUGGGCAAUGGGGGAAACCCUGACCCAGCAACGCCGCGUGAAGGAUGAAGUAUUUCGGUAUGUAAACUUCGAAAGAAUAGGAAGAAUAAAUGACGGUACUAUUUAUAAGGUCCGGCUAACUACGUGCCAGCAGCCGCGGUAAUACGUAGGGACCAAGCGUUGUUCGGAUUUACUGGGCGUAAAGGGCGCGUAGGCGGCAUGACAAGUCACUUGUGAAAUCUCUGGGCUUAACCCAAAACGGUCAGAUGAUACUGCUUUGCUAGAGUGCAGAAGGGGCAAUCGGAAUUCUUGGUGUAGCGGUGAAAUGCGUAGAUAUCAAGAGGAACACCUGAGGUGAAGACGGGUUGCUGGGCUGACACUGACGCUGAGGCGCGAAAGCCAGGGGAGCAAACGGGAUUAGAUACCCAAGUAGUCCCUGAGCGGGCUGGCAAGGCGCAU